rnacentral:rRNA from 1 species
GAUGAACGCUGGCGGCGUGCCUAAUACAUGCAAGUCGAACGCACAAAAGAGGAGCUUGCUCCUCUUGCGUUAGCGGCGGACGGGUGAGUAACACGUAGAUAACCUACCUAUAAGACGGGGAUAACUUCGGGAAACGAUAGCUAAUACCGCAUAAUAUAUUGAGACGCAUGGUUCAUUAUUGAAAGGCGCUUUUGCUGUCACAUAUAAUGGAAUCCGCUCCUAAUUAGCAAGUGGUUAAGGUACCGGCUUACCAAGGCAACGAUGCGUAGCCGACCUGAGAGGGUGAUCGCCCACCCGGGAACUGAGACACGCCCCAGACUCCUACGGGAGGCACCAGUAGGGAAUCUUCGGAAAUGGGGGAAAGCCUGACGGAGCACCGCCGCGUGAGUGAGGAAGGUCUCCGGAUCGUAAAACCCUUUUAUUAUGGAGGAAGAAAGGUGUAAGUAACUGUGCACGUUUUGACGGUACCUAAUCAGAAAGCCACGGCUAACUACGUG